GACGAACGCUGGCGGCGUGCUUCCCCCCUUCACUUCGAACGUACAUUCCCUGCUUUUUUUUUUUUCUCUAUUUGCGAACGGUUGCUUAACCCUUUAGUAACCUGCCCUUUACUUUGUUAUAACUUCCGUAACCUGGUUCUACUCCCGGCUCUGAGCUCCUGCUUCAUGUUGGUGGUUGGAAAUUUUCGUCGGGUGGUGAUGGACUCGCGGCUUAUCAGCUUGUUGGUGGGGUAGUGGCUUACCAAGGCUUUGACGGGUAGCCGGCCUGAGAGGGUGACCGGCAACAGUGGGAAGGAGAUAAGGCCCAGACUCCUACGGGAGGCAGCAGUGGGGAAUAUUGCACAAUGGGCGGAAGCCUGAUGCAGCAACGCCGCGUGCGGGAUGACGGCAUUCGGGUUGUAAACCGCUUUAGCCUGUGACGAAGCGUGAGUGACGGUAAUGGGUAAAGAAGCACCGGCUAAAUACGUG
rnacentral:rRNA from 1 species